CGAGUCGUGCGGGCGGUCGCGUCGGAAUCCGCGAGGAUUCCGCCGAGGAAAGUCCGGGCUCCGCAGGGCAGGGUGGUAGGUAACGCCUACCUGGGGCGACCCACGGGAAAGUGCCACAGAAAGCAGACCGCCGGGGCCGCGAGGCACCCGGUAAGGGUGAAACGGUGGUGUAAGAGACCACCAGCGGCCAGGGUGACCUGGCCGGCUCGGUAAACCCCACCUGGAGCAAGGUCAAGAUGGGGCCGCGUCCCGUACGGGGCGGUGGCUCUGCGCGGAUGUUCGAGGGCGGCCCGCCCGAGUCCGCGGGUAGACCGCUGGAGGUCGCCGGCGACGGCGAUCGUAGAUGGAUGGCCGCCUCCGGGCGGACCGCGAGGUCCGCCCGGAACAGAAUCCGGCUUACAGCACGGCUCGUCUG
rnacentral:RNase_P_RNA from 1 species